rnacentral:rRNA from 1 species
UUGUCGUCAGCCCGUGUCGUGAGAUGUUGGGUUAAGUCCCGCAACGAGCGCAACCCUCGCCUUUAGUUGCCAUCACGUUUGGGUGGGCACUCUAAAGGAACUGCCGGUGACAAGCCGGAGGAAGGUGGGGAUGACGUCAAGUCCUCAUGGCCCUUAUGUCCUGGGCUACACACGUGCUACAAUGGCGGUGACAGUGGGAAGCCAGGUAGCGAUACCGAGCCGAUCUCUAAAAGCCGUCUCAGUUCGGAUUGCACUCUGCAACUCGAGUGCAUGAAGGUGGAAUCGCUAGUAAUCGCGGAUCAGCAUGCCGCGGUGAAUACGUUUCCCGGGA